AUACCUUUGUCGACCUGUUGACUAAGAUAAAGUGUAAUGUUUGUUCUUACUAGUUUGAUAUCUGAUAUGUGGAUCGUAUGUUCACUUUAUUAAAUUUUAUUUUUUUAUGGGUAUCAAAUAUGAUUGUGUGUCUAUCGGGGUGAUAAUUAGGGGUACCCAGAUUAUCCCUCCGAAAAACGCACUCAGGAGAAGUAAACACAUA
rfam:Zea mays cultivar B73 chromosome 4, whole genome shotgun sequence.